rnacentral:lncRNA from 1 species
CACCCUAAAUUUUGCUCUUUUGGAAAUAGAUGAAAAAUAAUUUAAUUUGCUAUUUUGUGCUCAUAAAAUAUAGGAAAAAAAUAAUAAAUAAAUUUUGGGAAAAUAAAAUUUAAUAUAAGUUUAGAAAACAUUUUUUUUGUGUGUGCAUUCAUGCUGUGGCAUUUUAUUUUGCGAUGUGUGAAUUUUGCAAAAGAAAGAUUUGUUCAAAAUUCAAAUUGAAAAUGCUUUUGAAAAUGAGUUGAAAAAAAAAUAAACAAAACCCUUCUUUCCCUCCUCACUUUCGGCCCAGUCAGCCCAGCCGGCCUCCUCCCCCUUCCCCUCUUUCUCUCACCCGCUGACAGGCCGGGCCCGCCUGUCAGCUUCACCUUCUCCAAACUGCCGCCCGUUCCCCCUCUCUCUCUCAGCUUCAAACCGCCGAGCCGAAGUCGCUCCCCCACGAUCUCCUCUCUCCCCCGCGCCUCGGGUUGAUGUGGGCAGAGCUGUGCAAAACCGACCUUCCCCCCUCCCAUUCUUUUCCCCUUGCCCCCU